rnacentral:rRNA from 1 species
CGCGUGGGAACGUACCUUUUGGUUCGGAACAACACAGGGAAACUUGUGCUAAUACCGGAUAAGCCCUUACGGGGAAAGAUUUAUCGCCGAAAGAUCGGCCCGCGUCUGAUUAGCUAGUUGGUGAGGUAAUGGCUCACCAAGGCGACGAUCAGUAGCUGGUCUGAGAGGGUGACCGGCCACACUGGGACUGAGACACGGCCCAGACUCCUACGGGAGGCAGCAGUGGGGAAUAUUGCACAAUGGGCGAAAGCCUGAUGCAGCGACGCCGCGUGAGGGAUGACGGCCUUCGGGUUGUAAACCUCUUUCAGCAGGGACGAAGCGCAAGUGACGGUACCUGCAGAAGAAGCACCGGCUAACUACGUG